AAUUACAAUAAGUCCGUGCACCAACAUGUGUUGCCGUCCACCAGCAAAUACCCUGGUGGUACCGACUAUAAAAGAAAAAAAACCCUUAAUAUUGUAGUCAGUAGUUAAUUGAAAUGCGUUUAAGCGGGUUCUUUGUGGUAUUGGCCGUGUGGGUAAUUCCAGUCGCACUUGCGAAAGGGAACAGGACUCUUGGAGAGCUAGAUUCUAUGAUUAAGCCAACCUAUACGGAGAUAAGGCAAAAGAUGCUUGGAGAUUUGGUAAUGAGUCCCUCAAUGACAUCCGAACAGACAAAUAUUUUGAAAAAAAAGCAAACCUGCAAAAAAAUUGGAAUGACCUGCGACAUUGCCGAGGACUGUUGCACCCGUCUCUGUUUGAAGCGUUAUAAUGAAUGCGUGAUUUAGAAACUGGUUGGAUAGAACUCAGAAACAAAUAAAUUAUUAAAUAAUUAAAAA